GAUGAACGCUAGCGGCAGGCCUAACACAUGCAAGUCGAGGGGGAAGUUACUUUCUGGUAACUGAGACCGGCGUACGGGUGCGUAACGCGUAUACAAUCUGCCUUUCACUGGGGGAUAGCCCGAAGAAAUUUGGAUUAAUACCCCAUAGUAUAGUAGUGUGGCAUCACACAACUAUUAAAGCUUAGGUGGUGAAAGAUGAGUAUGCGUUCUAUUAGCUAGUUGGAGAGGUAACGGCUCCCCAAGGCUAUGAUAGAUAGGGGUUCUGAGAGGGAUGUCCCCCACACUGGUACUGAGAUACCGACCAGACUCCUACGGGAGGCAGCAGUGAGGAAUAUUGGACAAUGGUCGGAAGACUGAUCCAGCCAUGCCGCGUGCAGGAUGAAGGUCUUAUGGAUUGUAAACUGCUUUUGUAAGGGAAGAAUAAGGACUACGUGUAGUUUGAUGACGGUACCUUAUGAAUAAGCAUCGGCUAACUCCGUG
rnacentral:rRNA from 1 species